CAGAGGGUGCGAGCGUUGUUCGGAUACUGGGCGUAAAGCGCGCGCAGGCGGCCUUUUAAGUCUACCCGUGAAAUGCCGGAGCUCAACUCCGUGCACGCCGGGGGAGUACUGGGAGGCUGGAGACAUGUAGAGGCAAGCGGAAUUCCGGGUGUAGCGGUGGAAUGCGUAGAUAUCCGGAAGAACACCUGAGGCGAAGGCGGCUUGCUGGGCAUGAUCUGACGCUGAGGCGCGAAAGCGUGGGGAGCAAACAGGAUUAGAUACCCUGGUAGUCCACGCCGUAAACGAUGGGCACUAGACGCGGGUGGGAUCGAUCCCCUUCCGUGUCGCAGCUAACGCGAUAAGUGCCCCGCCUGGGGAGUACGGCCGCAAGGCUG
rnacentral:rRNA from 1 species